rnacentral:rRNA from 1 species
GACGAACGCUGGCGGCGUGCCUAAUACAUGCAAGUCGAACGCAGUGGGGACGGGUGAGUAACACGUGGGUAACCUCCCAUCAGAGGGGAUAACACUUGGAAACAGGUGCUAAACCGAUACUGAUGGAUGAACCCGAGGUGCAUUAGCUAGUUGGUGAGGUAACGGCUAACCAAGGCAACGAUGCAUAGCCGUCCUGAGAGGGUGAUCGGCCCCACUGGACAUUGGACACGGCCCAAACUCCGACGGGGGGCCGCAGUAGGGCAUCUUCGGCAAUGUACGGAAGUCUGACCGAGCAACGCCGCGUGAGUGAAGAAGGUUUUCGGAUCGUACAGCUCUGUUGUUAGAGAAGCGGUAACUAACCAGAAAGGGACGGCUAACUACGUGCCAGCAGCCGCGGUAAUAC